UUAAGUUUUGGUGCUUUUUGAUAGCUUUAUGCUCACCAAAGCAAUUUAAGAAUGAGGGAGAGCUAUAUAUAAUUCAUGGAAAAGCUUUUGGAAGCUCAAAUUUAUGAAGAAACCAAGAUUUGGAGCCUCAUAAUCCUUUGCCUUAGUCGUUCAAAGUAUGCAAGGAAAGAACAAUGGAGAAGAGGAAAACAGGGUGAUGAAAA
rnacentral:lncRNA from 1 species